rnacentral:lncRNA from 1 species
CAUAGAAAUCUAAUAAAAUGUAAAUAUCUAUGUGAAUAAAACUACAAAAUUCUGUAAUCCUAGAGGAUUGGGAGGCUGAGGCAGGAGGAUUGCAAAUUCAAAGCCAGCCUCAGCAACAGCAAGGCGCUAAGCAAUUCAGUGAGACCCUGUCUAAAUAAAAUACAAAAAAAAAAGGGGGGGGCUGGGUAUGUGGCUCAGUGGUUGAGUGCCCCGGAGUUCAAUCCCUGGUACCCACCCCCGCAAAAAAAAAAAAAAAAAAAACCUACAAAAUUAAUAAGAAAUCGAAGAAGAUCAAAAUAAGUAGAGUAGGGGCUGGGGUUGUGGCUCAGUGGUAGAGUGCUUACCUACCAUGUGUGAGGCACUAGAUUAUAAAUAAAUAUACUGUGUCCAUCUGCAACUAAAAAAUAUUUUAAAAAAUAAUAGAGAUACUUUGUUUAUGGACAGGAAGAUUUAACAUUAUUAACUUGUUGGUUCUUUCCAACUUGAUACACAACUUCAACAUAAUCCCAGUUACAAGUACCAGCAAAUUAAGUUUUCAGCAGAUUGAUUCAAAAGUUUAUAUGGAGAGGCAGAAGACCUAGAAUAGCCAGUACAACAGUGAAGAAGCUGAGCACAGUGGCACACAUCUCUAAUCCCAGGAACUAGGGAAGCUAAGACAGGAGGACCAUAGGUUCAAGACCAGCCUGAGCAACUUGGUGAGACCCUGUCCUCUAAACAAAAUAAAAAGGGCUGGGGAUGUGGCUCAGUGGUAAAGCACCCCUGGGUUCAAUCCCUAGUACCAAUAUAUGAAUUAAAUAAAAUACUAAAAGCUACAAUAAUACAGUGUGGUAUUGGCAAAAGAAUAGACAGACCAAUGGAAUGAGUAAGAAUCCAGAAAUAGACCCAUACAAAGGAGCAAAGUCAAUUUGAUAGAGGACUAUCCUUUCUCAGCAAACAAUGCUGGAACAACUGGACAAUCACAUGCAAAAAAAAACUCACAAAAAUUAACUCAUGAUGUAUAAUAAAUGUAAAAUACAAAAAUAUAAAAACUCCUAGAAAAUAACAAGCUAAAUGACCUUGAGUCUUGUAAUAAGCUUUUAGAUAUAACACCAAGACCACAAUCCAUGAAAGAAAGAUUCACAAGUUGGACUUGAUUCAAAUUAAAAACUUCUGCUCAGCAAAACACACUGUUAAGAGAAUGAAAAAGACAGGGGCUGGGGUUGUGGCUCAGUGGUAGAGUGCUCGCCCUAGUGUUUGCAAGGCCCUGGGUUUGAUCCUCAGCACCACGUGAAAAUAGAUGAAUGAAGUAAAGGUAUUGUGUCUAACUACAACUAAAAAAAUAAACAUUAAAAAAAGAGAGAAUGGAAAAGACAAGCCAAGGGCUGUGCAGAAAUAUUUCCAAAACAUAUCAGGUAAAGGUCUUGAAUCUAAAAUAUACAAAGAACUCCCAAAGCUCAACAAUUUGAAUACCUAAUUUGAAAGUGGGCAUAGGAUCUGAACAAGCCUGGCGCUAUGGUGCACACAUGUAAUCCCAGUGUGAUACAUUUGUAACAAUUAAAAAACAAUAUUGAUACUGAUGAUGAACCAAAGUCUAUAGCUUACAUUAGAGUUCAGUGACUUGGGAGGCUGAGAGAGGAUGGUAAAUUCAAGACCAGCCUCAGCAGCCCUGUCUCAAAAUUUUUAAAAAGGCUGGUAAAGUCUCCCUGGGUUAAAUCCCCAGUACAAAAAAAAAAAAAAAAAAUCUGAACAUAUUCCUUACCAAAGAUGAUAGAUAGGUGGCUAAUGGCAUAUGAAAAGGCAUUCAACAUUAUGUCAUUAGGAAAUUGCAAAUUAUAACAAUGAGCUGUGGACAGUGGCUCCCAUUGGUAAUGUCAGCUUCUUGGGGAAGCUGAAACAGGAGGAUCACAAGUUUAAGGUCAGGCUGGGUAACUUAGCAAGAUCCUGUCUUAAAAACAAAAAAGGGCCGGGGAUGGCUGGGUGCAGCGGUGCACAACUGUAAUCCCAGUGGCUUGGGAGGCUGAGGCAGGAGGGUUGCGAGUUCAAAGCCAGCCUCGGCAAAAGUGAGGUGCUGAGCAACUCAGUGAGACCCUGUCUCUAAAUAAAAUACAAAAAAAGGGCUGGAUAUGUGGCUCAGUGGUUGAGUGCCCCUGAGUUCAAUCCCUGGUACCUAAAAAAAUGCUGGGGAUGUAGUCCAGUAGUAGAGCAUCCCUGGGUUCAAUCCCUAAUACUGAAAAAAAAAAAGUGAAAAUAAUACUACACAACUCAGAAUGGCUAAAAAAAAAAAAAAAAUUUUAAUGACAAUACCAAAUGCUGCCAAGGAUGUGGAGCAACAGGAACUCUCAUUCAUUGCCAAUGGAGAUGCAAAAUGGUACAGCCACUUUCAAAGACAGUUUGGCAGUUUCUUAUGAAGCCAAACAUAGUCUUACUAUAUGAUCCAGCUACACUCCUUGGUACUUACCCAAAAGAGUUGAAAUCUUAUAUCCACACAAAAAUCUGUACAUGAAUAUUUAUAGCAUUUUUAUUCUUGAUCAUCAAAAAGCUGGAAGCAACCAAGAUGUUCUUCAAAAAGUGAAUGGAUCAACUAGUACAACCACACAAAGGAAUAUUAUUCAUGAUAAAAAGAAAUGAGCUAUCAAGACACCAAAAGAUAACAGGAGGUUGGCUUGUAGCUUGUAGUAGAGCGCUUGCCUAGCAUUCAUGAGGCUCUGGGUUCCCUCCCUGUACACACACAUACACACACACACAAAAUCAUGGGGCAUGGGGGCACACAUCUGUAAUCCUAGAAACCCUAAGAGGCUGAGGCAGGAGGCUAGCCUCAGCAACUUAGCAAGUCCCUAAUCAAUUUAGUGAAACCCUGUCUCAAAGAAAUAAAAGGGGUAGGGGAUGUAAGUCAGUAGUCAAGUACACCUGGGUUCAAUCCCCAGUACCCAGAAAAAAAAAAGCAGCGGGUAUUCUGGGUGCAGUAACAAGUGCCUGUGUUCCUAGCUACUGGGGAGGCUAAGGCAGAAGAGUCACUUGAACUCUGGAGUUCAAGACCAGCCUGGGCAACGUAGUGAGACUGGCUUCCAAAACAAACCAAGACACAAUAUGAAGGAAAUUUAAACAUAUAUUUCUUAGUGAAAGAAGCCAGUCUGAAAAGGAGAUAUAUAUAUAUAUAUAUAUAUUCUUUGAAUUCAACUAUAUGACUUUCUGGAAAGGGCAAAAACUAGAGAUAGUAUGAAGAUCAGUGGUGUUCCAUUUUUAAAGCGUGCAUGUGUGAGUCACUGGCCCUGCUGAUAGAGAGCCUGGGGCUCAGAUAAAUCCACACAAUGAACGGAUAGCAAAACAGACAUGAGAGAUUGGGACUUCUGUGUUUGUGGUAGGCAAGUGUGACCCCAGAGGCCUGCUGCCUGUCUCUGUGCUUAGGAGCAUGCCAAAAUGUGGUUGCAGAACUUAAAAGGUAAUGAGAAGUUAGCUAGCCCAAAGGCUCUCAGCGCUGGCUAUGGAUCAGAAUCACCCAGGAUACUUUGCAAACUUCCCAUGUCCCACCCCCAGAUAGUCUGUUUUAAUUGGUUUGAAGUGGAACCCAGGCACCCAUCCAUUAUCCUAAAACAUGCUAGAUUCAUUCUAAUGUGCAGCUAGAACUGAGAACCACUGAUCUAGCUCUAUCCACACUAUACAAAUAUGGACAGUGAGUUCCAAAAGGGGGCAAAAGGGGAUAGCUUGCCACCAGGACCUCCAGUGAAUAAGAAAAAAGGCCAGGACAAAUCUCGGAUUCCUAAUCCAGUUCUUUUUUCUUUCUUUUUAUUUUUCCUGGCAGUGCUGGGGAGUCAAACACAGGGCCUUGCACAUAAAAGAAAAUUUCUUGGCACAUGUGGGGCCCCGGGUUCAAUUCCCAGUGACAAGCACACACACAAAGUCACUUUCUUAUGACUACUCUUUGAGCUUCUGUGUACCUGGCAUUGAACUGUGCACUGGACAAUGGAAAUGCACAGAAGAGACCCAGUCCCUGACCUCCUGGAGCCUCCAGAUUACCUGGAAGUCAUAGAACACAAAUACAGAGUUGUGAAUGAUCUCUGAACAUUGGAUUUCACUGUGGACUGUCCUCUCCAGCAUUUCCUGCCAUCAUUGAGUGCCCCACCAUGUGCCAGGAUCUUUGUCAGGCCUAGGGAUACAAACAUGUCUGGCAGGGAAGGUGGGCAGAUGGAAGGCAUUCUGACAGGCACAUGAUGGGAGGCAUGUGCCACUCAGUGGUCCUGCCUCCUACUCCCACUUAUUUCUUUUUCGUAAAUAAAAUACUUUCUGGUCCUAGUGUUUAUACUUAUUUUAUGUUGAUUUAUAAACACGAAGACUGGUCAUCCUUCACCUCUCCAGUAGCCCUAAAAGGAUUUGGUUCAGAACCCCAACUCUGUCUAAUAUGUGUUUAGAUUUCCAGCAAGUUCCUGAAUCUCUGAAUAUAUCUCUCAUCAUGGGUAAAAUGGGUAUUGCUGCCUGCUCUGUUGAUCUCACUGCAUUGUAAGGAGGCUCCAAGUCAUAGUGAGAUCCUGCACAUCAAAGUGCUUUUGAAGUAGUCAUGUGUGCGCGGGAGUAAUGUUUGGUUAUAAGUGCUACAAUGGCUGGCACUGAAUCUGUGUUUUGACCAGAUUCAGGUAGAAGCUAUCAAGCCACACAAAAUGUAGACAAGACUCAGAUUAUUGUUUCCUUCUUUAGAGACAAGGAAACUGGUGCCCUAACAGGUUCAGCUAAUCUCGAUGGUGUGACAGUCACCAAGUGGGUCAGCUGGCCCACUCCAGAGUCCACAUGUCCACCCUCAUGCUUUACUGCCC